AGCCCCCUUAGCCUGGAGGCAGGAGAAGAUCUGCCUCCAGAGAGCAGAGUGCUUGCAGAGCCUUUGGCACUUGAACAUAGGAGUUGGCAGCAGCAAGAGGAAGUAGCCACAGCGUGGGGAAAGAUUUCAGUCGUGACCUGGCUGGCCCAGCAAGAUGUGUGCGUACGAGCAGCUGUAGGACUCCACCGUGCAGCAGGGCCAGGGGAGAGCCAGGUGGCCAGCAGCGAAGACCCCGCRCAGCUUCUUUUUGCGGAGAAAGGGGUCCAGGAGAGCUGCUUGACCAUCGAUGGCAUCUUUCACUUGGACGCAGGACAGGAGAAGGUUUUGGAGCUGGCAAGACCCCAGUUGGCCCUGGUGCCCCUCGGCUAUAGUGUGUCCCUGCUGCUGUGGGACCCCCAUGGUCCUGGGACGCAGCUGCCACUCCAGGACAUUGUCUGGCAGGUGAUCAACAGUGUUUUCCAAGAGCUGGAGGCUGCGGGCGGUGACACGCAGGGCCUGCAAACU
rnacentral:lncRNA from 1 species